rnacentral:rRNA from 1 species
UACGUAGGGUGCAAGCGUUAAUCGGAAUUACUGGGCGUAAAGCGUGCGCAGGCGGUUAUGUAAGACAGUUGUGAAAAUCCCCGGGCUCAACCUGGGAAUUGCAUCUGUGACUGCAUAGCUAGAGUACGGUAGAGGGGGAUGGAAUUCCGCGUGUAGCAGUGAAAUGCGUAGAUAUGCGGAGGAACACCGAUGGCGGAAGGCAAUCCCCUGGACC